rnacentral:rRNA from 1 species
AUUGAACGCUGGCGGCAUGCUUUACACAUGCAAGUCGAACGACCACGCGAGCUUCUUCCUGGCCGCACGUUACCAACGGAUGGGUAAUUAAUCCGAACGUGCCCUGCCUAUGGGGCUGGCCCGGCUUCAGCCGGCUGAAUCCCGUAUCCGACCAGAUGUUGAACGCGAGGGUCCGAAAGGCCUCGCCCGAUUUGAGCGGCCGAUGUCGGAUUAGCUAGUUGGUUGGGUAAGGGCUUACCAAGGCGACGAUCCGUAGCUGGUCUGAGAGGACGACCAGCCACACUGGGACUGAGACACGGCCCAGACUCCUACGGGAGGCAGCGGUGGGGAAUUUUGGACAAUGGGCGCAACCCUGACGCAGCAACGCCGCGUGCGGGAAGAAGGUCUUCGGGUUGUAAAACGCUUUUGUUAGGGAAGAAAAAAUGUGUACUAAUCUAUGGGCGGGAUGACGGUACCGGAAGAAAAAGCAACGGCUAACUACGUG